rnacentral:lncRNA from 1 species
GUGGAAAAUAUUGAUAACAUGUAGUGGGAAGUUGCAGCACUACUUUUAUUAAUAACCAAGCCUAGUAGGAUGCAUGGCUGGUUGGUAUUCUCUGCAUGAAUGCUGCAGCGUGUGUGGACAGCAACCCAGUUGCUGGUUGCAUGCAUUUCUAACUUCUGAAUAUUUGCUUGCACUUCAACGGCUGGUACUCAUUGUAGCUGAAUGGCCUUUCCUUUCUGAUGCACGUCCAGGUUCCUUGCAUAUAUUUGGCGGGCAGAAUCCAUCAUCAUCCCAUGCCCGUUCAUGCCCUCCAUCAUUCCUAAGAACAUUAAAACAAGUACUGAAAAGCAUAGGCUCAUUCAAAAUAAUCUGAUUAUUUAACAUAAGGUUAGCGUUCACCUGAGAAUGCAUUUCCUUCUCCAAUUGUUUGGCUCUGCUCCUUGUAGUUGGACCCACUAUAUCAGAUGCAUCUUCAUUAGGAUGUGGAGAAGACUGGAUACUAGGGAUGUCCUCAUUAGCCUCCCCCUCUUGGGAAGGAGUCAUCCUCGACUCAGACUCACCAACAAAUGGAAGCAAAUCUUUGACAUUGAAUGUUGGGCUCACAUUGGAAUAUUCAGGCGGUAGUUCAAUUUUAUAAGCAUUAUCAUUUAUCUUUUGGAGAACCUGGAAUGGACCAUCACCUCGUGGAGAUAACUUACUCUUGCGUUGUUGGGGAAAUCGAUCCUUGCACAAGUGCAACCACACUAGGUCACCGGGCUGGAAUGUAACUUUCUUCUUACCCUUGUUUGCUUGCUUUGCAUACUGUGCAGAUUUCUUAUCUAUAUUCCUUCUUGUAUCAGCAUGUAGCUUCUUAAUAAAUUCUGAUCUCUUUGCAGCAUCCAUGUUAACUUGUUCCUGCAAUGGUAAAGGCAAAAGAUCCAUGGGUUUAUGUGGUUUAAAACCAUAAACAAUUUCAACGGGACAAAAAUUUGUUGUUGAAUGUACUGCCCUAUUAUAAGCAAAUUCAACAUGUGGAAGGCAUUCUUCCCACAUUUUCAGAUUCUUUUUCAGCACAGCCCUCAACAUUGUAGAUAGAGUACGGUUGACAACUUGUUUGACCAUCAGUUUGUGGGUGACAGGUAGUAGAAAAUAACAACUUGGUGCCAAGUUUUCCCCAUAAUAUUUUCCAAAAAUAGCUCAAAAAUUUUGUAUCACGAUCGGAAACAAUAGUCUUGGGCACUCCAUGUAGACGAACUAUCUCCCUGAAAAACAAUUGAGCAAUGUGUGAAGCAUCAUUGCUCUUAUGACAUGGAAUAAAAUGUGCCAUCUUUGUAGAGCGAUCUACAACAACAAAAAUAGAAUUGCUCCCCCUCGGAGACCGAGGUAAACCUAGAAUAAAAUCCAUGGAUAUAUCUUCCCAAGGUACAUUUGGAAUCGGUAAUGGAAUAUAUAGACCAUGGGGAUUAAGGCGGGACUUAGCUUUCAAGCAAGUAAUGCAUCGCUCAACAUGUCGCUGGACAUCACGUGUCAUAUGUGGCCAAAAGAAGUGACCAGAAAGAAAGUCCAAUGUCUUUUUUACACCAAAAUGACCAGCUAACCCACCGGCAUGUGCUUCCUGCAAAAGAACAUUACGAAUCGAACAAGCUGGAAUGCAUAGUUUGUUAGAUCGAAAUAAGAAUCCAUCAUGCAUAUAGAAUUUAUCCCAUCCUUUGCCAACAAUGCACUUAGAGUAAGGUUCUUUAAAAUCAGAAUCAUUAGCAUAAAGUGAUUUAAUGGAUUCUAAUCCAAGAACUUUUGUUUCUAGUUGUGCAACCAAACCACAUCUUCGUGAUAAUGCAUCUGCAACAAUGUUAUCUUUACCACGCUUGUGUUUAACAACAUAGGGAAAUGUUUCAAAAAACUCAAUCCAUUUUGCAUGACGGAGGUUCAGUUUGCCUUGGCUUUUGAGAUAUUUCAAGGCUUCAUGAUCAGAAUGGAUUACAAAUUCUUUAGGUAAUAAAUAAUGUUGCCAUACUUCCAAAACUCGAACUAAGGCAUAAAGCUCUUUAUCAUAGAUAGAGUAGUUCAGAUGUGGACCAUUUAGUUUUUCAGAAAAGAAGGCAACAGGUUUACCUUCUUGAAGUAGCACACCUCCAAUGCCAAUACCACUUGCAUCACAUUCGAUCUCAAAAGUCUUACCAAAGUCUGGUAGUUGCAGCAGCGGUGCUUCACAAAGUUUUCUUUUCAACACUUCAAAGGCUUGUUCCUGUUCAUCUCCCCACUUGAAUGGAACAUCCUUCUUUGUCAAAUUGUUAAGAGGUGCAGCGAUUGUGCUGAAAUCUUUAACAAAGCGCCGGUAAAAACCUGCAAGACCAUGGAAACUUCGAACUUGGCUCACAUUUGUAGGAGUUGGCCAGUCCUUUAUCGCAUUAACCUUCUCUUCAUCAACUUGGAUGCCAUCUGCAGUCACAACAAAACAAAGAAAAACAACACGAUCUGUGCAAAAGGUGCACUUAGAAAUAUUUCCAUACAAUUUUUCUGCCCUCAAAACAGCAAGGACUGCAUGAAUAUGAUCAAGAUGUUCAUCAAAUGAUUUACUAUAAAUCAAGAUAUCAUCAAAAUAUACAACCACAAAUUUGCCAAUGAAUGCUCUUAAAACAUGAUUCAUUAAACGCAUAAAAGUUGAAGGAGCAUUUGUCAAGCCAAAGGGCAUCAUCACAAGCCAUUCAUAUAAGCCAAAUUUAGUCUUAAAUGCUGUUUUCCAUUCAUCUCCAAUUUUCAUGCGAAUUUGAUGGUAGCCACUACGCAAAUCAAUCUUGGUAAAAAUAGUAGCACCACUCAAUUCAUCUAACAUAUCAUCGAGCCUAGGAAUGGUAUGACGAUAUCUAACAGUUAUAGCAUUGAUAGCACGACAAUCGACACACAUGCGCCAAGACCCAUCUUUCUUAGGGACCAAAAGUACUAGAACAGCACAAGGCGAUAGAGAUUCACGAACAUACCCUUUGUCCAAAAGCUCUUUUACCUGCCGCUGAAUUUCUUUUGUUUCUUCAGGAUUGGAGCGGUAGGCUGGACGAUUUGGAAGAGAAGCACCGGGUACCAAAUCAAUUUGGUGCUCAAUGCCACGGAUGGGAGGAAGACCAGCAGGCACCUCAACGGGAAAAACGUCCUCAAAGUCCUGUAAUAAAUCAAAAACAACACUUGGCAGUGAUGUAGGUAAAUCGUUAGUUGACAAUAGGGCCUCCUUGUGCAGGAGCACAAAGAAUGGAGUAGUGGUGUUCCUCACUUCUCUCAAGUCACUCUUGCUCACAAAUAAACAUUCAUUUUGUCGAGGAAGGCUUGUAUUUUUAGGAGGCUUUAUGUGGCUGGAUGGUUUAGGAUUCUCUCCCUUACUAUUUUUAGAUGUCUCAUAUAAUUUUCUUUUCUCACUCUCCUCCCUUUUCAUGCGAGCAACAUCAGAAGAAUGUAUGUCUUCUGGAGAUAAUGGAAGAAGAACCACCUUCCUCUCUUUUUGAAUAAAUGUGUAUUUGUUUGACCGACCAAAAUGCAUAGAAUCCACAUCGAAUUGCCACGGACGACCCAGAAGUAAGUGGCAUGCUUGCAUAGGAACAAUAUCACAGUCAACCUCAUCAUGAUAGUCACCAACUGAGAAUGAUAAGCGGACCAAGGAUGAAACCUUUACUGUCCCUGAAUUAUUCAACCAUUGCAUAUGGAAUGGGUGUGGAUGGCGACGUGUUGGCAGACCAAGUUUCUCAACAAGCAAGGCACUAACAGUAUUGUUGCAGCUCCCACCAUCAAUUAUAAAUCUGCACACCUGUCCUCUCACUUUGCAUCGUGAUUGAAACAAAUUAUGGCGCUGCCCUUGCUCAGCUGCAAGGAAUUGAGUAGAAAGAACUCGUCGAACCACCAAAGAGUGAUCUGGUGCAUCCAAAAGAUAAGCACUCAUAGUGGAAUUUGCAGUAGACCCAAAUGAUCUGCCGUGUUGGGACAAAACAGGAGCCUCCAAAUUAUUAAUAUCAGCAAGCAAAUCAUCAAAAUCAGCAGUUGUGAUCUCCUCAGGAUUUAGAGGAAUAACAUCUUGUGGUAUGUCAUCUUGAGCAACUUGUGGAAUAGAAUGAAUAACCAAACAAUUUAAUCCCAGCUCAUAUUCACCAUCCUCAGCCUGAUACUCACAAGUUUCGAGAGUCUCAUCUGCUAAUGCAAGGAUAUUGUGCUCCUCCUCUUCUUCACUCUGAGAAUCAUAAGAACUAUCAGCAAGUGCUAUAAUUGCACGCCUAUUAGGACAUUCAGCUUGCUUAUGACCAUGACCACCACACUUAAAACACUCAAUCUUGCUUGUCUUCCUUGGGGCUGCAGCAGUAGAGGAGCUGGACUGAUUCGAACUUACAGCUUUGCCUCUUGAAUCAAAGUGUUUGGCAGAAGUUGAAACUGAACGAGAAGUUGCACGAGAUGGUGUGUGCACACCUGACCCUUGCUGAUGUGAAUGGCGCCAUUGAAUAGAAGUAUUAUGAGCUGAAUAUGAAGCACGAUUUUUAUAAGGUUCAGCAAGCUGCCUUUCUGCCCUUUUUGCAAAAUGUAACAAUUCAUUCAAAGUGUUGUAAUUAGUCAUGUCCAUCUUGUCUGCGAUUGGUUUAUUAAGACCAACCAGAAAUCGAGCCAUCGUCGAUUCCUCAUCUUCAGUGAUACCAGUACGAAGGAGACACAUUUCCAUUUCCUGAAAAUAUUCAUCCACACUACGAUGACCUUGGACAAGUCGUUUCAGCCUCAAAUGUAGCUCACGAGAAUAAUGUGCAGGAACAAAUCGUCGCCUCAUUUCUCGUUUCAUGUCAUCCCAUGUAAUACGAUCAUGUCCAACGCGGCGGAAAUCAGCACACACUUGAUUCCAGCAAGUGAUUGCAUAACCUGUGAACUCAAUUGCAGCAAGCUUUGCUUUCUUGACAGCGGGAUAAGGAUAUAAAUCAAAGAUCUGAUCAACCUUGGUCUCCCACUCAAAAUAAUCAUCAGCACUUUCCUUUCCAUUAAAUUUUGGAAUGGACACUUUCACUUUGCUUAAACCGUCAUCAUCAUGACGACGACGGCGAUCACGAUAACCAUGACGGCCACCAUGCCGAUGAUCAUCCAUGUCAGACAACAUAUCAUCAUCACCAUCAUAAUCUCCUCCACCUCCAAUAGGAAUGCGCCGAGCACGACCAAAAUUAGGAAUACCACGACCAAAAUUAGGAAUACCACGACCAAAUCCACUACGUCUAUGGCCAGCAGCACGACGCGGUGUCUCAUCCUCCUCCUCAAUGUCAUCGUCCUCAUUUGGUGGUGGUUCUCUACGUGGCAUGUCCAAUUGGAGAGUUUGGAGCUGCUGCGUCAAAUUAUUUAUUUGUGUACGCAGCUCCUGGAAUUCCUCCACCGAAACAGCGGCACCAUCUCCAGGUCCUGACAUAUUAGUACAAGUAACAAUAUAGGAUAGAACAAUAUGUGGAAUCACUCCCUCACCACUUACUGAACAAGUUCUUUCUCUUCCUGAAAGGCCAAGAACCGAGGCAGCAAUCUGCAGUGGAAGAGUGAUUGUACCAGAGACGACGGUGCAACAGUUCGCGAUGCUGUGGGUGGGGCUGGGUGGGAUGUGUUGUCACUGCAAUCUGAAAUUUUAGUGAUGCAAAAUCGAAUAAUAAUCCAAAAGAGAAACACAAGUCUUAGUUGCUGAUCACAAGGAAAAAAAUAGGUGGAAAGGAAAGGAGCAAGGUAGAAGAAGUGAAACUGAGGAAACAAUUGGCACCUAUAGGACUGUUGCUCAAUCCCCUUUUUUCUUGCAAAUAUUCAUGUGUCUCUUUUUUUUAACUUUUUUAUUUUCUUUUGAAUUUUUUUUAGAACCUCCGGACAAGCGAUAUACAACUUUCAAUAAGGGUAGCACAGAAUGGCAAACAAAGUAUUGGUGCCGAUUGGUAGGCUGAUUUGGAAGCAAUCAAGGGUGGGAUGGGUGGGGUAGAAACAACGGAAGAAAGAGGAGAAAAAGAAAAAAACGAAAUUCAGAUUAGGAGAACUCAGACCAAGUGAAAUCAGCAACAAGAUAAUUCUCAAUGGAUCAAAAGUCGAAGCUGCAAACUAAAUUCAGAUGCAAAAUUGAAAUGAUAGGUAUAUAAUUUUGCUGGUGGUGUGGGCUGUUUGUGGACUAUAGGAAAAUGAACAAACUAUCCUACCAAAAAUAAGAAUGAUCCUACGGAGGCUCUGAUGCCAGAUGAUGCGCACACGUCUAUGGAUCAUGUGUGACAAGUAGUAGUGGCCCGAUCUUCUCGAAGGAUCUGCGAACUUGAUAACUAUCGCUGCGUGACCUGGUGAAGAGGCAGUGCACCGCGAGUCUGCACACGCGACGAAUUACCGAGACAAUCACCCUUCCACGUACCGAUGAAGCCAGCCCCCGUAAAGACGUGAAGGCACAAACUGGGUGAACCGCAGUUCGGCGUUCUACAACUCCCUCAGGAAUCGAAAGAACAAGUCUGCAAGCCUCUCAAGACUCACGUGGAAAGAAGAACUCAAAGAGUUUGUGUUUCUGAAAUUGCAAUCACAAGUUCCUGUUCACGUCCUUCAUUAUAGGGAUAUAUAUAGCACUAGUGGAGUUUCAGUUUGGUGGAAAAUAAUUGAUAACAUGUAGUGGGAAGUUGCAGCACUACUUUUAUUAAUAACCAAGCCUAGUAGGAUGCAUGGCUGGUUCGUAUUCUCUGCAUGAAUGCUGCAGCGUGUGUGGACAGCAACCCAGUUGCUGGUUGCAUGCAUUUCUAACUUCUGAAUAUUUGCUUGCACUUCAACGGCUGGUACUCAUUGUAGCUGAAUGGUCUUUCCUUUCUGAUGCACGUCCAGGUUCCUUACAUAUAUUUGGCAGGCAGAAUCCAUCAUCAUCCCAUGCCCGUUCAUGCCC